rnacentral:rRNA from 1 species
GACAGAGGGUGCAAACGUUGUUCGGAUUUACUGGGCGUAAGGGGCGCGUAGGCGGUCGUGACAAGUCACUUGUGAAAUCUCCGGGCUUAACUCGGAACGGUCAAGUGAUACUGUCGGACUAGAGUACAGAAGGGGCAACUGGAAUUCUCGGUGUAGCGGUGAAAUGCGUAGAUAUCGAGAGGAACACCUGCGGCGAAGGCGGGUUGCUGGGCUGAUACUGACGCUGAGGCGCGAAAGCCAGGGGAGCGAACGGG